AAAAUUAAAGGCGCGCGCAUCGAGCUUGCUGAGGAGAAACUGGGUGAAGAACAAACAAUAUUCCAACUUCUGCAAAAAUCCUUCUGCUCAGACAACUUGUUUGUUUAAAUUUUAAUACCGGGAGACUGGGGCCAGCAAGAACCUACCAGAAGAGGGAAAUUUUUUUAUGGCAGCUUCUUGCACAAUACCAACAUGAUUGGCCUUGAGACAUUGGAAGAUCCCACAGAUACCUGGGAAAUAAUAGAGACAAUUGGAAAAGGAACCUAUGGAAAAGUCUACAAAGUUUCUAAUAAGAAGGAUGGUAGCCAAGCUGCUGUCAAAGUGCUGGACACUAUCAGUGUUGUUGAUGAAGAAAUUGAAGCAGAAUAUAGCAUCCUGCAGUCACUAUCAAAUCAUCGGAAUGUUGUUAAAUUCUAUGGAAUGUUCUACAAAGCAGAUUUGAAAUCUGGUGGUCACCUCUGGUUAGUUCUAGAGCUGUGCAAUGGAGGUUCUGUCACUGAACUCAUCACAAAUGUACUGAAGCGUGGUGAAUGCAUGGAUGAAGCACUAAUCUCAUACAUUUUGUAUGGGGCACUUUUGGGUCUUCAGCAUUUGCACAACAACAGAAUUAUUCAUCGUGAUGUUAAGGGCAACAACAUUCUUCUGACAACAGAAGGAGGAAUCAAGCUGGUUGAUUUUGGUGUCUCAGCUAAGCUUACAAAUGCGAGAUUACGUCGCAAUACUUCCGUGGGUACACCCUUUUGGAUGGCACCUGAGGUCAUUGCUUGUGAACAGCAGUUGGACUACUCGUAUGAUAGCCGAUGUGAUGUAUGGUCAUUAGGUAUCACAGCAAUUGAGCUUGGUGAUGGUGAGCCACCAUUGUCUGAUCUGCAUCCUGUGAAAGCACUCUUUAAGAUUCCAAGAAACCCGCCACCUACUUUGUUAUACCCGGAAAAAUGGUCUGCAGAGUUCAACCGGUUCAUUUCACAGUGUCUUAUUAAAGACUUUGAAAAGCGUCCAUCAGUUACAUUCUUGUUGAAACACCCAUUUAUUAAGCAUGCUCAUGGGAAAGAUGUGACCCUACAACAACAAUUAGCUAAGCUGAUCAAAGUACAACAACAGCAGUGUUCAGCAAAAACAAGCAGGCAAAAAAAUACCAGAAAAAAUCACAUGACAGCCUCAGAGGGUUGCAGUCAGAAGAUGACUGAUGACUUGGUCACCCUUGAAUUCUUAGAUGAGGAAACCAUCAUAUACUGUCUACAGAAAAGGUACUCAGAGUUACAGAUAUACACCUACGUUGGGGACAUUUUAAUUGCUUUAAACCCUUUCCAGGACCUACCUAUUUACACUCCAGAGUUUUCUAAGCUUUAUCAUGGUGUCAAGCGUUCUUCAAAUCCUCCACACAUUUUUGCCACAGCGGAUGCUGCAUAUCAAGGAAUGGUAACUUUUAGCAAAGACCAGUGCAUUAUCAUAAGUGGAGAAAGUGGUGCCGGGAAGACAGAGAGUGCACAUUUGAUUGUUCAACACUUAACCUAUCUGGGAAAGGCUAAUAACCGUGUUCUGCGAGAGAAAAUUCUUCAAGUUAAUCCACUUGUGGAAGCCUUUGGAAAUGCUUGCACUGCAAUCAAUGAUAAUUCCAGUCGAUUUGGGAAAUAUCUAGAAAUGAAGUUCACUCCCACAGGGGCUGUAAUGGGAGCAAAGAUCUCUGAAUAUUUGUUAGAAAAAUCAAGAGUUAUUCAACAACCUGCAUGCGAGAAGAACUUUCACAUUUUUUAUUACAUCUAUGCUGGUCUCUAUGAUCAGAAGAAACUGACAGAAUAUAAACUUGCUGAAAAUAAACCUCCAAGUAGGUAUAUUGAUAACGAAAAAGACACACUUAUGCAGGACAUCUUAACCAACAGCUCAUACAGAGAGCAAUUUGAAGCCAUUCAGCAUUGUUUCAGAAUCAUUGGAUUCACUGAUGAGGAAGUUCGGUCAGUGUACAGAGUUCUUGCUGCAAUCCUGAAUACUGGAAAUAUUGAGUUUGCACCCAUUGCCUCAAAACAUCAAAUGGAUAAAAGUGAAAUUCCAGAUGGAGAGCCUUUGGAAAAUACUUCAGCUCUGCUUAGUAUUGGUUCUGAAGAGUUUCAGGAAGCACUUACUUCUCACUGUGUUGUGACACGGGGAGAAACUAUAAUUCGUACAAAUACAGUAGAUGAAGCAUCUGAUGUUCGAGAUGCCAUGUCAAAGGCCUUAUAUGGAAGACUAUUCAGCUGGAUUGUAAACCGCAUCAAUACGCUUCUUCAACCUGAUAAAAGUGUAUGCAAUCCUGAAAGUGUAAUGAAUGUUGGGAUUCUGGACAUCUUUGGGUUUGAGAACUUCAAGAAGAACUCCUUUGAACAACUAUGUAUCAACAUUGCCAAUGAACAGAUCCAAUUUUACUUCAAUCAACACAUCUUCGCUCUUGAACAGAUUGAAUACCAAAAUGAGGGAAUUGAUGCCACACUUGUGGAAUAUCAGGAUAAUCGACCAAUACUGGAUAUGUUCCUUCAGAAACCAAUGGGCUUAUUGUCUCUGCUUGAUGAAGAGAGCCGUUUCCCUAAAGCAUCUGACCAGACACUCGUAGAUAAGUUUGAAGACAAUCUACGAUCAAAUUACUUUUGGAGACCAAAAGGUGUGGAACUAUGUUUUGGAAUCAAACACUAUGCUGGCAAGGUUUUUUACGACCCAUGUGGUUUCCUUGAAAAAAACAGAGACACGCUUCCUGCAGAUAUAGUGGUGGUACUUCGGACAUCAGAAAAUAAAUUGCUUCAGCAACUCUUUUCCAAUCCACUCACAAAAACAGGUAACUUAGCACAGUCAAGAGCAAAAGUAAAUGCAGCAUCAAGGUCAUUACCUCCACAGCUUACUGUAGGCUGCAAAAAGUCUCCUAAAUACUUGCUGAAGGUUGAUACAAUGGAAGUUAUGCGACAUCCCGAGGAAACAACAAACAUGAAACGACAAACUGUGGCUUCUUACUUUAGGGUGGAUUUCUUUCUUAUCUGGCAGUAUUCAUUAAUGGAUCUACUGUCUAAAAUGGUGGUUGGUCAGCCUCAUUUUGUCCGUUGCAUCAAACCCAAUGAUGACCGACAAGCAGAAAAAUUUUUUGAAGAAAGAGUUCUGGUUCAACUGCGGUACACUGGCAUUUUGGAAACUACACGCAUUCGAGCACAAGGAUACUCUCAUCGCAUCCUCUUUGAAGAGUUUGUUAAAAGAUACUACUACCUUGCCUUCAGGGCACAUCAGACACCUCCUGCUAAUUGUGCAAGCUGUACUGCCAUUCUAAAGAAAGCAAGACUAAACAAGUGGAUGCUUGGAAAAACUAAGGUGUUUCUUAAGUAUUAUCAAGUAGAACAGUUAAAUUUACUGCUCCGAGAAGUCAUUGCCAGCAUUGUGGUUAUUCAAGCCCACAUCAAAGGCUGGCUGGGAGCCAGAAGAUACAAGAAAGCACAAGCAAAAAAACAAAGCAGUGCCAUCAUCAUCCAGUCAGCCUGGAGAGGAUAUGUUGCUCAUAAAAUCUACAAACAACUGAAGACACAAAGUGAAGCUGCCAUUUGUAUUCAAACAGGUAUCAGGGGCUAUCUAGCUCGCAAACAAUAUAAAACAAUGAAAGAAAGUUAUAUAUUGGCAACAGGGCAAGAGUUCCAGACCACAGAAUGUAGAUCCAGCAAUGAUUAUGAACAAAUAAGCCACAUCAGUUACAAUGAAACUCAUAACAUUGAUGAGAAGAAUGAGGAAGAUAAAAAGGCUUCUGAUGAGGUAGUGAAUCAACUACCACCAAGUGAAACACAGCCUCAAGCCCAUCCAAUUAUGAAAGGAUCAAGAAAGGAAACUGAACAAAAACAGUUAAGAAUACCUCGUCGACGAAUGCAGCAGCCCAAAAUGCUGAACAGCCCUGAGGACAGCCUGUAUUAUAACCAGUUAAAUGGAAUCCUACAAUACCAAGAGAGUAAAAGAAAGCCAAGAAAACUUGGUCAAAUCAAAGUGCUGGACAUUGAAGAUGAAUAUUACAAAUCACUGUCAUGUAUUGAACCUGUCCCUGAGGAAGAUGAUUCAUUGAACCCUCCCCCUCCUAUUCCAAGAGGACCAGGUUUUACUCAUAGCUGAAAGUGGGCUCUAUAGAUGCCAUCUCUUCAGUAUUUAGUUAUAGGAACCAAUCCAUAUGUAUGUAGGUUGACUUCGAUCCACUUUCAUUUGAAGCCAAGAAACAUGAAAAAUUGUCAGUAUUUUAAUGUUUAAACAAGAUUGAACCAUGAACAUACAAUUGUUUCAUUGAAUAGUCUGGUGAUUUCUCUUUAAAAAUAUUAUGCUUUCGAUUAAGAAGUUGAUUUGGAAUUGAAGGUAACACAUUACUUCCUUUGUGCCACUCAGAUAGGAGUAGUUUAUUAUUAAAGCCAUUUGUGACGUAGAGACAGUAAUCCAUCUCAUAAUUUGAAAUAUCUAAAUUUGUAUCUCCUUUUGUGGUAACUUUAAGUCGGAUGAAAUCAAACUGCAUUCAGAAUCUAUUCUCUUGUUUAAUUAUACCAAGUGAUGCUUGCUAAGAUCCAAUGCAUUGUCUAUAAAAAAUUGAUAAUCAAAAUCUGAACUUUGCUUUUACAAAACAUUUUUUGAUUAAGACUUUGUGCAACAAAAUUUAAAAAUGUCAUGUUUGUUAUUAAAUUGAAACAUGCCUUGGUUUACUCACCAGGUGAGUGAUUUACUUUUAAUUAGCAUGUUCAUGUGAUGUAAAACAUGGUUGGUGUCUCAGCAUUUAGCAUUGAACUCGAAUUAUAGCACUAUAAUUUUCAAAUAAAUAUGUAUUUGUGGCCUUUUAAUGGUGUGAAAACCAUUCAUACUAAUCAAUGUUUCAACAUGUGUAUCAAGUUGAAUAAAAUGAAAUAUGGAAUGA